CGCCUCCCUUUCUUAGGCCUUCAUCAGGUUCCGAAGAUGCUGUCUGAGAGAGGUGUCUCCACAAUAUGCUCGAAUAGAAAAAGGAAAUUUCGCACAAUAAAUGGAGUGCUAGGAGAUCUGCAACCUGCAAACCCUUGUGAACAAGAGGAAUUUGGCAGCUCAAGUGAUUCUGGUCAAUUAGGCUGGAGCAUACUCAGUAACCAUGCGGCCUCUAACUGGGCCGAAAGUAUUGUAUCCCUUACUUCAUUUGAUGAAGGGGGUUCCAUACAUCCUGCAUGCACAGGCAUAGUUGUUGAUCACACUAAAUCUAGGGCAUAUCUUCUGGCUUCAUUAAGCUUGUUUAGAUCUAGACAUGAUGAUAGAACUAUCAAUU